CCGGGAUGGGGACACUGGGACGGGGACGGGGACACCGGGAUGGGGACACUGGGACGGGGACACCGGGACGGGGACGGGGACACCGGGAUGGGGACACCGGGAUGGGGACACUGGGACGGGGACACCGGGACGGGGACAAUGACACAGGGACAGUGGCAUGGGGACACGUUGCACGGGGACAAUUCCAUGGGGACAAUUAGACAAGGACAGUGACAUGGGGACACUUUGCAUGGGGACGGGGACACAGGGACAGGGACAAUUACACAGGGACAGUGGCACGGGGACGUGUUGCACGGGGACAAUUCCAUGGGGACAAUUAGACAAGGACAGUGACAUGGGGACACUUUGCAUGGGGGCGGUGGCAUGGGGACAGGGACAAUGACAUGGGGACAGUGACACAGGGACACGUUGCAUGGGGACACUGCCAUGGGGACAGUGGCGCGGGGAUACUGGAACGGGGACAAUGGCAUGGGGACCGUUGCAUGGGGACAAUUACACAAGGACAGUGACACAGGGGCACUUUGCAUGGGGACAGUGGCACGGGGACAGGGACAAUUACAUGGGGACAGUGGCACAGGGACAGUGGCACGGGGACAAUCGCAUGGGGACACUUUGCACAGGGAUGCUUUGCAUGGGGACACUUUGUCCCCAUGUCCCCAUCCUGUCCCUGUGUCCCUUGUCCCUGCAUCCCAAUGUUCUCAUGCCCCUCAUCCCUGUGUCCCCAUAUCUCCAUGUCCCUCGUCCCCAUGUCCCUUGUGUCCAUUUCCCUCAUCCCAAUGUCCCCACACCUCUUGUCCCCAUGUUCUCAUGUCCUAUGUCCCCAUGUCCCUGUGUCCCCACAUCCCUUGUGUCCAUGCCCGUCAUCCCAAUGCCCCCAUGUCUCUGUGUCCCCAUGUCCCCACAUCCCCACGUCCCUUGUCCCCAUAUCCGUAUGUUCUCACGUCCCUCAUCCCCAUGUCCCCACAUCUCCUGUCCCCAUGUCCCCCUGUCCCUUGUGUCCAUGCCCCUCAUCCCAAUGCCCCCGUGUCCCUGUGUCCCCAUGUCCCAAUGUCCCCAUGUCCCUUGUCCCCAUAUCCCAGUGUUCUCUUGCCCCUCAUCCCAAUGUCCCCAUAUCCCAAUGUCCUCAUGUCCCUCAUCCCCAUGUCCCCAUGUCCCCGUAUCCCCCUGCCCUCCCCGCGCCCCCCAUCCCCCCACGCCCCCCUCCCGCGGUGCGGGGUCUGAGCGUCCACUGCCGUCCCCGCAGACCUGGGGCUGU
rnacentral:lncRNA from 1 species